rnacentral:rRNA from 1 species
UAAUACGGAGGGUGCAAGCGUUAAUCGGAAUUACUGGGCGUAAAGCGUGCGUAGGUGGUUUGUUAAGUCAGAUGUGAAAGCCCCGGGCUCAACCUGGGAACUGCAUUUGAAACUGGCAAACUUGAGUAUAGGAGAGGAAAGUGGAAUUUCUGGUGUAGCGGUGAAAUGCGUAGAUAUCAGAAGGAACAUCAAUGGCGAAGGCAGCUUUCUGGACUAAUACUGACACUGAGGUACGAAAGCGUGGGUAGCAAACAGGAUUAGAUACCCUGGUAGUCCACGCCGUAAACGAUGACAACUAGCCGUUGGGGGGAUUUACCCUUUAGUGGCGAAGCUAACGCGUUAAGUUGUCCGCCUGGGGAGUACGGCCGCAAGGUUA